GAAAAAAGAAAGUAUUUUUUUCCGUCUUUUCUCCAGGUCACCCCUCUGAGCCCAAAAAGGAGUUGCCCUUUGCUCUGUACACAGACAUGAGAAUGGCACCUCGGCUGGAAAGGAAGAGACUGGUUCCUUUUGACUCUUCCACCUCUCAGUAUUCCUCUUUGUGCAUAGGGAAAAGGACUUUUGUAUCACUGGCAGUGAUACAAAAAUAGGGAUCUGUGUGAAGAGGAAGGUGAUCUUUAUGAUGAUUUAGUCCCAUAGUGAUUCUGACACCAUUUUUUUUUUUGAUGUUCAUAAUGCUGAAAAAGGAGAUACCUGUAUGAUCAGUAUGGGGUCAGAGCUGCUAUGGGAUGCUGCAUCCCUAAUGAUAUCCAUCCCUUCUCAAAAAGGGAAGCAAUGUGGAACUAGAUGGUACAGAGCACUAACUAUGAGACUUUAUCUUUUGGGAAACUCCUUCCACAUUGAUAGGGCUCAUAAAGAAGGACUGCACAUCACUCAUGGAAAGUCUGCAUGGUACAGAGGAUUCUGAAUUUCAAAGCUGCCUCAAGCUAAAUUGAAAAGAGGAAAGUGAAUUGGUUCUGUAAGCACAUAGGAUCCCUUUAUCAGAAUCAUGUUAUAUUUGUAAUGGUAGUCUGACAAUGAACCAUGAAGAUUUCUGAUGAAGACCAACUAAGGUCGAAACGGCCCUAAAAGUACUCCGGAGGUAGCCGUCCUACCUGGGAAGACUACUCAUCAUAUCUUCAUGCUCUGUUGCUGCAAGCACCAAGGAUAAAUAUUUCCCAAAGGGACUGAGGAGACUGGGUUGCUGCAGUUGAAUAUAUGGAUGUUGAUUACCAAAUACAACCACAGAGUUAUAUUAUAGUACCAUAUAUGUAAAUGUGAUUACUCUUAUGAUUGGGAUGUAAAACCAUGUGGAUAAUACAUAUGGGUACUUUUUGAUAAAUAGACACGUCUCGGUCAGAUCAUUUUAUUGUUAAUUUACAACUAUUGUUGUCCCCCUUUUGUUGGUUUGUAGUAUUGGAUAGAAAACAAAUAUAAUUAGAUAUAUACAGAAAUACAUCAUUUAGAAAAAAGCAAAAUGAUAUCUCAGAUAAGAGGGAACACAAGUGAGAGAGGGGGGAAUGUCAAAUAUUAAAUUAUGCAUAUUUUAGGGGAAAUAUUUUGCUCUAUAUUACAGCUGUAGCAGUAUCAGCAAUAAUAAUAAUGCCUUAACUAGGCGGAAAAAUCUGUCCAACAUGAGUAAUGUCAUCCUUAAUUGAACAACAAAUAACAUGCUAACUAAGUUUAAGCUGCAAAAUGUGCUGAACUUACUGUUUUAGCAAGAAGUAGUUUCCUGAUAGAAUUCUUCCUCUUACAACAUCAUUAAAACCUUCUCGGCGUGUCGCUGCAUACAAGGCUUCAGUUGAUUUGUCAACACUGCUUCGAUGUCCUAAAAUUAGAAGUCACUGGAUUUUUGGAAACAUAUCCUAAAACUCUUCAAAACUGCCUCAUGAAAAAAUAACAGAAAUAACUGCAGCAUAAAUCAUGAAAGUAUACUAGAGCUUGCGUGUUGCCAUUGCAUAUGGCUCAACAUCAAACAAUCUGUUUUAUUCAUGGAUAAAGAAUCAAGACUUUCUCAUAGAUCCCAACAACAGGUUUUUAAGGCAGAUAUUCAGAUUUGGACUAAACUGGAUGUUCUUGGCUGAAUAUUUCUGGUAUAAAACGAAACAUGUGAGGGGUCUCAAAUCUUCCCGUAGAGCAGCCUCUGAAAGGCUAGGGGGGUCCCAGUAGCCUCCUAGGAGACCUUCAAGGGCAACACCUGCUUCUGUCUAUCCCUCCCCAAAACAGCAAAAAAUUCUUUAUCCCCAAACCAGUAUUUUUGACCUCUGGGGGCCCCUGGAGGGCCACAUGUAGCCCACAGCUGCACUUUCCACACACCCUCCCUAUAAUGUCCCAGAAGUUGCCUUUCUCAUGUAUGUUUGUUUGUUCAUUGUUUUCAGCUGAUGUGAUUCAGCCAGGACAGGUGACAACAUUUAUAAUCUGAACUUUUAAUAGACUUUGUGACUUCUGAAGGUAAUUUUAAAUCUUUUCACUGUUGUAGAAACUUCUGUUUCCUCUGUCAUUAGUACUGGUGGUACUGCUGUGUUAUGAUGAGAGAAUUUAUUUUACAGGCCGAGAUAUUACUGAGCUUUGUGCACUUGCAUAAGAUGAUUUCUUCUUCCCUUUGCAUGAGUGGGGGAAUAAGCCGGGAACCCACAAUCAAUUAUAGCUGCAUUAGGACUAAAUCAGAAACUGCAGCCAGUGGCUCUAAACAAGCCAGUCUUCAAAAAUCAACAUUAAACCAUGACUUCAGAUCUUGGCCUGUUUAGAAGCUAAGAACCAGAGUUUCUUGGCUUCAAAGUAAUCAGCCAGUAAAGCUAAAUGAAGUUCCUGCCGUAUUUCUCUGCUCUUAUGAAGGAAAGAGCAAAGAAUCAUCUUAACUAAACCUGAAUAUGGUCAACGUGUCAAAUUUACUCAACAUUCAAUACAUCUUUUGACAAGACAGUUCUUUUAAUUAGAAAUGUUCCCAUUAAUUCUAUAAAGUACAGCUAUUCAAAUUAGUAUAAUAUAAACGUCUGUAUAAUAGGAUCCUCUCAACGUUGUAUUUUAUCUCAAAAUUUGCUCACAAAUGUCCUAAAACUUGUUGUGCCAUUAAAAUGUCAUUUAGGAUAAGGCAUGCCAAAUGUUACAUAUCAUAUCAAAAACAUCACCCAGUGCAGGCAUUACAGCAUCAGUUACAGACUCAAAUUUUUAAUAUUCUGACAAAUGUUUCAAAUUCAGAGUAAGAGUUCCUUAGCUUUGUCUCUCCUGCUCCAGCUACGUCUAGAGUAAAAUGCUGGAAACAGGAAGUCAGGAAUGUAGGAGUCAAGGUGUGGAAGUACACUACUUGACUUAAUUUGGCACUUUAAAAAAGUAUACUGAAAAGUACAGGGUGAGAGCAAGAUGAAGCAGAACCCAUUGUGUUUGAUCAGAGGUAUUUCAAUGACAUUGUCUUCAUUCACCAGUUGACCUUGAGCUUAGACCAGCAAUUGAGCUGAACAAUGCAUGCAUUUUGUGCUACAGUAAGAGCACACUCUUCAGAGGACACAGCUGAGACAACAUUUCUCUCAUAACAAAAACACAUUCCCAGGAAUUACAAUAAAAGAAGAAACUUCAUACAUCAACAGACCUCACUGAAGUCAGUACAAGCCUUUCCAGAGCUUUAAAAUGGCUUUGUCAAAGACCUAAUCUUUCUGUAAUUAAAAUGCACAUCAGAGUUGGCUCAGAGUUAGCAUUGUGCCUUUCUUCUGACAUCAUUCCUGGAAUCUGUACUGAUUCAAUUGGACCCAUGCUAUCUGUUGUGACUCACAGACAGGUGUACCUAAGAAGACUAAGAGUCUUCACCCCCAGGAAAAUCUGUCUGUUUUGAACACACUUGGUUUUGGUUUCGAAUGCUAGGACAGUCUGCUCUGGAGUGAACCAAAGCUUUCCUGGUGCUACAGGUUAACAGGGUUUAACCAGCUUUGUUUUGGAACAUAAUUCUUUGAACUCCUCCCCAGUUAUCAAUACAUAAACCAUGUUUAUGGCUGACUGGGGUAUUCAGUCUAAAAAUGGUAGCUCCUGGGCAUAGCUCUUCCUUAACUUUGUUGGGUGGAGUCACUGUUCUAUUUGUCAAUUUCAGAAAUCAACCAUUCCUGUUUAAUAUGCUACUGUCACUAUGCCAAGCAACCAACAUUCCUACAAUCAGCUCUGUUUCUCACUGGAUCUCCACUAGGCAAGACAAAACUUGCAUUGUGCCUUAAUGAGCAUUAUUCCAGAAGUGGGACACUAUUCAUUCAUUUCUGCAGCCCUUUUCCGCUGGUAUUUCGGACAUCAUGACAGUAAGGUGACAGUAAGGAUUAGGAAACCCAUCAGAGCUAAUCUGGCUGAAUCUUUAAUAUUUCUGGAUCAUAGACAGCCAUGAAUUAACCAACUACACCCAGUGAAAAUUUCACAUGCAUGUUUUAAUCUGUGGCAGAAUGGACAAAAUUGGGGAUGUGGAAGUCAAAAUAAAAGUUCUGUAUUGGAUUUUUAUAGGAAAAUGCACUUCUCCUUUAAGUAGGACACCUUAAAUGACACAAGCAGGCUUUCAUUUGCAUCCUUUAACAGUUUUCAAUUUAUCUUCAGUUUAGGCACAACAAAUUAUCUAGAAUGACAAUGUAUGUGCAUCCACAUGCACACACACACCUAUCACUUCUGAAGCUUCCACUGGCUGGCUCUCAGUUCUUUUUAUCAUGUUUGCUUAUGAUUCUUCAGAAGAACAUAUAUCUGUGCCUGCACAAAAUCAGACAGAAACAUGGAGACAAGAACCAUGGUGGCCAGCAACUACUAAAAACAUAAAUGAGAACUACAAGAGCAAUGGUGCUGAGAAAAGGGAGACUCAAACCAAAAGCUAGAACCAAUUCUAGAAGCUUAGCAGAUCUUACAUAGUUCAUGGACUGGUAAAGAUGAAGAGUGGUUUAUAACACCUCAGCUGUCCUUCUUAAUAAGAUUUUUAUUACAUUAACUCUCUGGGAAAUGAAUCUAUAACCUCUGUGCAAGAAAUCCUUUACAGAAAAGACUUACCAUAC